GGCUUGGUAGUGUAACGGUAUCACGCUGCAUACGUCUUUGGUUCAAGAUAUGUGCAAGUCUCUUGCGGAGGUUCCCUGUUCAAUUCGGGGCCAAGCCA